UUGAACGCUGGCGGCAGGCCUAACACAUGCAAGUCGAACGGUAACAGGAAACAGCUUGCUGUUUCGCUGACGAGUGGCGGACGGGUGAGUAAUGUCUGGGAAACUGCCUGAUGGAGGGGGAUAACUACUGGAAACGGUAGCUAAUACCGCAUAACGUCGCAAGACCAAAGAGGGGGACCUUCGGGCCUCUUGCCAUCGGAUGUGCCCAGAUGGGAUUAGCUUGUUGGUGGGGUAACGGCUCACCAAGGCGACGAUCCCUAGCUGGUCUGAGAGGAUGACCAGCCACACUGGAACUGAGACACGGUCCAGACUCCUACGGGAGGCAGCAGUGGGGAAUAUUGCACAAUGGGCGCAAGCCUGAUGCAGCCAUGCCGCGUGUAUGAAGAAGGCCUUCGGGUUGUAAAGUACUUUCAGCGGGGAGGAAGGGAGUAAAGUUAAUACCUUUGCUCAUUGACGUUACCCGCAGAAGAAGCACCGGCUAACUCCGUGCCAGCAGCCGCGGUAAUACGGAGGGUGCAAGCGUUAAUCGGAAUUACUGGGCGUAAAGCGCACGCAGGCGGUUUGUUAAGUCAGAUGUGAAAUCCCCGGGCUCAACCUGGGAACUGCAUCUGAUACUGGCAAGCUUGAGUCUCGUAGAGGGGGGUAGAAUUCCAGGUGUAGCGGUGAAAUGCGUAGAUAUUAGGAGGAACACCAGUGGCGAAGGCGGCUUACUGGACGGUAACUGACGUUGAGGCUCGAAAGCGUGGGGAGCAAACAGGAUUAGAUACCCUGGUAGUCCACGCCGUAAACGAUGUCGACUUGGAGGUUGUGCCCUUGAGGCGUGGCUUCCGGAGCUAACGCGUUAAGUCGACCGCCUGGGGAGUACGGCCGCAAGGUUAAAACUCAAAUGAAUUGACGGGGGCCCGCACAAGCGGUGGAGCAUGUGGUUUAAUUCGAUGCAACGCGAAGAACCUUACCUGGUCUUGACAUCCACGGAAGUUUUCAGAGAUGAGAAUGUGCCUUCGGGAACCGUGAGACAGGUGCUGCAUGGCUGUCGUCAGCUCGUGUUGUGAAAUGUUGGGUUAAGUCCCGCAACGAGCGCAACCCUUAUCCUUUGUUGCCAGCGGUCCGGCCGGGAACUCAAAGGAGACUGCCAGUGAUAAACUGGAGGAAGGUGGGGAUGACGUCAAGUCAUCAUGGCCCUUACGACCAGGGCUACACACGUGCUACAAUGGCGCAUACAAAGAGAAGCGACCUCGCGAGAGCAAGCGGACCUCAUAAAGUGCGUCGUAGUCCGGAUUGGAGUCUGCAACUCGACUCCAUGAAGUCGGAAUCGCUAGUAAUCGUGGAUCAGAAUGCCACGGUGAAUACGUUCCCGGGCCUUGUACACACCGCCCGUCACACCAUGGGAGUGGGUUGCAAAAGAAGUAGGUAGCUUAACCUUCGGGAGGGCGCUUACCACUUUGUGAUUCAUGACUGGGGUG
rnacentral:rRNA from 1 species